UACAGAGGUCUCAAGCGUUGUUCGGAUUCAUUGGGCGUAAAGGGUGCGUAGGUGGCGCGCUAAGUCAGGUGUGAAAUUUCGGAGCUUAACUCCGAAACUGCAUUUGAUACUGGCGUGCUUGAGGACUGGAGAGGAGACUGGAAUUCACGGUGUAGCAGUGAAAUGCGUAGAGAUCGUGAGGAAGACCAGUGGCGAAGGCGGGUCUCUGGACAGUUCCUGACACUGAGGCAGCGAAGGCCAGGGGAGCAAACCGGG
rnacentral:rRNA from 1 species